rnacentral:rRNA from 1 species
UAUGUGAUCGUCUCUCGCAUAUCAAUAAGCGGAGGAAAAGAAACUAACAAGGAUUCCCCUAGUAACGGCGAGUGAAGCGGGAAGAGCUCAAAUUUGAAAUCUUAAAGGGUUUCCCUUUACGAAUUGUAGUUUAAAGAAGUGUUUUCUGUUGAGGUUUUGGUAAAAGUUCUUUGGAAUAGGACAUCAUAGAGGGUGAGAAUCCCGUAUUUGACCUUUACUUUCAACUUUGUGAUACACUUUCAAAGAGUCGGAUUGUUUGGGAAUGCAGUCCAAAAUGGGUGGUAAAUUUCAUCUAAAGCUAAAUAUUGGCGAGAGACCGAUAGCGAACAAGUACCGUGAGGGAAAGAUGAAAAGAACUUUGAAAAGAGAGUUAAACAGUACGUGAAAUUGUCAAAAGGGAAGCGUUUGACACCAGUGUUGUUUUUCUGAAAAUCAAUUAAAGAACUGUUUAUGCUAAGCUUGUUUAGACUUUAUCAGCUAUCUGCUUUAGUUUUGAGCUUUUCUUUAAUGCACUUCUCAGUUAACAAGUCAACAUCAAUUUCUUUUGCUGUAAAAAAGCUUGAGGAAGGUGGCUUGAGAUUCGUCUUAAGUGUUUAUAGCCUCUUGCCUAUGCAGUCGGAGAGAUUGAGGUCUGCAGCGUAGAUCCUUCGGGGCUAAAUGCAUUUGUGCUAAGUUAUAGCAUUUUAUAGACAACUUGUUGACUAUGAUUUGUCUUGUAGCUUACUCGCUUAUGUUAUUUUACCUACGCUUAGGAUGUUGAACGCGCACAGAGUCUC